UACGGAAGGCAGCAGGGGGAAUAUUGCACAAUGGGCGAAAGCCUGAUGCAGCUAUGCCGCGUGUAUGAAGAAGGCCUUAGGGUUGUAAAGUACUUUCAUCGGGGAGGAAAAAACAAAACUAAUAAUUUUAUUUCUUGACGUUACCCGAAAAAGAAGCACCGGCUAACUCCGUGCCAGCAGCCGCGGUAAUACGGAGGGUGCUAGCGUUAAUCAGAAUUACUGGGCGUAAAGAGCACGUAGGUGGUUUUUUUAAGUUCAGAUGUGAAAUCCCUGGGCUUAACCUGGAACUGCAUUUUGAAACUGAAAUACUAGAGUAUCGUAGAGGGAGGUAGAAUUCUAGGUGUAGCGGUGAAAUGCGUAGAUAUCUGGAGGAAUACCUGUGGCGAAAGCGGCCUCCUAAACGAAUACUGACACUGAGGGUGCGAAAGCGUGGGGAGCAAACAGGGAUUAGAUACCCGU
rnacentral:rRNA from 1 species